rnacentral:tRNA from 1 species
UCCGAUAUGGUGUAGUGGCUAACAUUAUCGCCUCUCAUCACAGUGCGCGAUAGCCCGGGGUUCGAUUCCCCGUGUCGGAA